UACAGAGGGUGCAAGCGUUGUUCGGAAUUAUUGGGCGUAAAGGGCGCGUAGGCGGCGCGGUAAGUCACCUGUGAAAUCUCCGGGCUCAACUCGGAGCCUGCAGGCGAAACUGCUGUGCUUGAGUGUGGGAGAGGCGCGUGGAAUUGCAGGUGUAGCGGUGAAAUGCGUAGAUAUCUGCAGGAACACCCGUGGCGAAAGCGGCGCGCUGGACCACAACUGACGCUGAGGUGCGAAAGCGUGGGGAGCAAACAGG
rnacentral:rRNA from 1 species